GGGCCCGCACAAGCGGUGGAGCAUGUGGUUUAAUUCGACGCAACGCGAAGAACCUUACCUGGGCUUGAACUGUUUGGGCUAUCCCUAGAAACAGGGAGUUCCCUUCGGGGACUCAAGCAGAGGUGCUGCAUGGCUGUCGUCAGCUCGUGUCGUGAGAUGUUGGGUUAAGUCCCGCAACGAGCGCAACCCUCGUCCUGUGUUGCCAUUUUGGGACUCACAGGAGACCGCCAGCGACAAGUUGGAGGAAGGUGGGGACGACGUCAAGUCAUCAUGGCCUUUAUGUCCAGGGCUACACACGUGCUACAAUGGGUGGUACAACGGGUCGCGAAGCCGCGAGGCGGAGCUAAUCCCUAAAAGCCAUCCUCAGUUCGGAUUGCAGGCUGCAACUCGCCUGCAUGAAGUUGGAAUCGCUAGUAA
rnacentral:rRNA from 1 species